UACAGGGGGUGCAAACGUUGCUCGGAAUCAUUGGGCGUAAAGCGCACGUAAGCGGUCUGUUAUGUCAGAUGUGAAAGCCCUUGGCUUAACUGAGGAAGUGCAUCCGAAACUGGCAGGCUAGAGUACUAAAAGAGGGUCGCGGGAAUUCCCGGUGUAGAGGUGGAAAUUCGUAGAUAUCGGGAGGAACACCGGUGGCGAAGGCGGCGACCUGGGUAGAUACGUGACGCUGAGGUGCGAAAGCGUGGGGAGCAAACAGGG
rnacentral:rRNA from 1 species